UGAUAAAAAAACAAAUGCAAACAACAAUGCUGAUGAACCAGAGUGGGACCAAAUUGAAUCCACAGAUUUCGAUGAAAGUAACGAAUUGGAUCCAUUUUUCUGGGCAAGA
rnacentral:sRNA from 1 species